AUACGGAGGGGGCUAGCGUUGUUCGGAAUUACUGGGCGUAAAGCGUACGUAGGCGGACUGAUCAGUUGGGGGUGAAAUCCCAGGGCUUAACCCUGGAACUGCCUUCAAUACUGUCAGUCUUGAGUUUGGGAGAGGUGAGUGGAAUUCCUAGUGUAGAGGUGAAAUUCAUAGAUAUUAGGAGGAACACCAGUGGCGAAGGCGGCUCACUGGCCCAUUACUGACGCUGAGGUACGAAAGCGUGGGGAGCAAACAGGAGUAGAUACCCUAGUAGUCC
rnacentral:rRNA from 1 species